rnacentral:rRNA from 1 species
AUUGAACGCUGGCGGCAGGCCUAACACAUGCAAGUCGAGCGGUUGACGGGAGCUUGCUCCCUGAUUCAGCGGCGGACGGGUGAGUAAUGCCUAGGAAUCUGCCUAUUAGUGGGGGACAACGUUUCGAAAGGAACGCUAAUACCGCAUACGUCCUACGGGAGAAAGCAGGGGACCUUCGGGCCUCGCGCUAAUAGAUGAGCCUAGGUCGGAGUAGCUUGUUGGUGAGGUAAUGGCUCACCAAGGCGACGAUCCGUAACUGGUCUGAGAGGAUGAUCAGUCACACUGGAACUGAGACACGGUCCAGACUCCUACGGGAGGCAGCAGUGGGGAAUAUUGGACAAUGGGCGAAAGCCUGAUCCAGCCAUGCCGCGUGUGUGAAGAAGGUCUUCGGAUUGUAAAGCACUUUAAGUUGGGAGGAAGGGUUGUAGAUUAAUACUCUGCAAUUUUGACGUUACCGACAGAAUAAGCACCGGCUAACUCUGUGCCAGCCGCCGCAGUAACAC